rnacentral:tRNA from 1 species
GAGGGUGUAGCUCAGUGGUAGAGUGCAUAACUAGCAUGCUCAAGGUCCUGGGUUCAAUUCCCAGUACCUCUG